AGCGGGAAAAGCUCAAAUUUAAAAUCUGGCAGACUUUGUCUGUCCGAGUUGUAACCUAGAGAAGUGUAACCUGUGCUGGACCAUGUACAAGUCUCCUGGAAUGGAGCAUCACAGAGGGUGAGAAUCCCGUCUUUGACAUGGACUACCAGUACACUGUGGUUGCACACUCAACGAGUCGAGUUGUUUGGGAAUGCAGCUCUAAAUGGGUGGUAAAUUCCAUCUAAAGCUAAAUAUUGGCGAGAGACCGAUAGUGAACAAGUACCGUGAGGGAAAGAUGAAAAGAACUUUGGAAAGAGAGUUAAACAGUAUGUGAAAUUGUUGAAAGGGAAACGCUUGAAGUCAGCUGCGUUGGCUGGGGAUCAAACCAGCUUAUUUGCUGGGUGUCUUCCUGGUUGACGGGUCAACAUCAGUUUUGACCAUCAGAGAAAGGCAAAGGGAAUGUGGCCCUUUUAAGUGUGUUAUAGCCCUUUGUUGAUGUGGUGGGUGGGACUGAAGA
rnacentral:rRNA from 1 species